rnacentral:misc_RNA from 1 species
GAUUUCUUUCUGGUGGUAAAUCGGAAUACUGUUCAGUUCGGCAAUAAAAGACAGGCUUCUCUGUGGUAUGUGUCAUCUGUUUGUUUACAAAAUUUUCGGACCUUUGAAUGCAAACGAUGCGACGAAUAGAAGUAUUAACAGAAUUAACAGAAGAUCAAGGGUGAUUAAUUGCCUUUUAUGAAUGUCAUCUGGACACUUUAUGUACAUCUCGUGUUAUAUCCGCCCUAAGUGAAUACUCGUCGCAAGAAGGUAACGUAACCUAACGUAACCUCAAAGAUACGGUCCGGUGCAUAAAUAGUGCACGAAACAUAGCGAUGAUGGAAGUUGGAUUUGCAAGUACUUUCGAUUAAUGGUGUGCAUUCGACAAACAACUCGCUAUCGGUGACUGGGAAUCCUCUAGAUGGAUAAUGAGUGAGUCCGAUGAUACGGACAUCCUGCUCCUGAUCCCGCCCGAUAUAUUCCACGUCCCGUCUUCCGACUCGGACGUCAGCUCGAGCGAUCUCGCGAGAACAGAUUGCGGGAAGGCUGGCGUUAUCUCGGAGCUGGUGGAGCACAUGCAAUCGCUCGAAUCUCGAAUCUCCGCCAUCGAGUUCAGAGACAAUAGCUUGGAGGUGUCCGUAUUGAAUAAUUCCUUAGAUUCUCACGAAGCCUAUAGCGGCACGUGCCACCCUUAUUAUCGGCAGACUUUACCCAGAACCAAGUUCUCCGUAAGUCAAAGCGCCAGUUUGCAAAAUACCCCCGUGAAACCUCGCCAGUGUCUCUCUGUUCCUGCUACUCCUAGUGGACAUACAUCGCAAACCUGUGCUAAUUCUUUGAGGGAUGACAUGCGAUUGGAACGUUGUUCCUUGAUAGCCUCUGUUGCUAAAUCAACUACUACUACUACUGUUACUACUACCACCACUACUAUCACCACCACCACUAACACUCUCGCUCGGGCCAAGCAUGAUGCUGUAACGUCGUACACCGACUCCUACGUGGUGUCUCCUCCUGCUUCCUGUGGUACUGGGCUUCCGCAUGUCACUGCUAUGUCCGCGAAAAAGGGAUCUCAUUUGUCUCUCCGUUCGGACGAUUACUGUACAGAUAAAAUUCAUUCUUGUCCCAAACCUCGUGAUUCAUUGCAUUCCAUGAUAUUCGCAUCAAACUUAUCUAACGCCUCAAUAGGUCAGCAGCAUACCUGUACUAGAAUAGUGCAAGAGAUGGAACUAUCUGAAGUUGAUGAAUUGCUUCAAGAGAUGGAAGCCACCGAGUUAGAAUUAGCAAAAAGAAUAAAUAACACUGGCGGAUAUCAAUAUCGCAAUGAACCGAUUCAGUCGAUGUCUUUGACUCGAACAGCUGAUAGCACAGAUGGUCAAGAAAAAGAGACGCAAUCUAAGCUCAGUGGGACAAAUCGAAGACUAGACUUUCAAUCGUGCAAUAAAGAGUCUCAACCGACCGAUGUUUUGUCAGCAUUUUGCCAAAAGAAAUCAAACAAUGCAUUCCCCGAUAUAUCGUUACCAUAUAGUAAUUCAUUCCACCUAGACGAGACUGAUAAAAUGAUUUCUGAAUUUAAAACAUGGGAACAAAGUCUUCAGCAAUCCGUUCCGCGGCCGAACGGUUAUACAACGGAAAAUGUAAAAAGUACAGAUCACUCGUCUAAUGUGUUAUCUGCCACGAUUAGCGUCACUAAACCGAGGGAAUCAACGAUGAAUCAAAGUAAUCAAAGUAAUUUGUAUACAAAAGAAGCGAGUACAAGUAACGGGCUGAUUCAGUCAAAAUCUUCAACUAUGAAAGCAGAUCCUGCAUCAUGUGUUACUGAAUCAAAGAAAUUGGCUGAUCUUGUAUCAACGAAAACUGUGCAAUAUAGUAAUCCGGAUCGUUUGUUGGAUCUUCGCAAAGUGCCACAGCGUAACGGAAAUUUACACGAUGAUAAAGAAGGAUCUGAACUUGCUAAAAGUACUGUACACGUUGGAACAAAUACAGAUAUUCAAUUAAGAAAAUGUCAGCGACUCUUAUCACUCUCGGAUUUCUGGGAUAUUAAUCCAACUAGAUCGCAAGAAGAAACCUUCAAGAUCAAGCUAGAAGAGGAAAAAUUUCGCAGAGAGCAUUGUGAGCAUCUGAUUCAAGAACUUCAGAAACGCCUGCUGGAGCAACAGGAGAAAGUGGCAGUAGCGGUUAGGGUAGAUAAUGAGAAAAAUGUCUUGAUAUCUCAAUUUCAUGCAGCUUGGUUAAAGUUAAAGCAGCAAGUCGGAAUAAUUGAAACUGAGCAGAGAAACUCGCAAACUAAUCUGCAAAAUAUUACGGAGAAGCAUCAAUCCGAGGUCACGGAAUUUCAGUCUCAAAUCAAACGUCUCGAGCGAGAACUGUCGAAAGCCUUAGAUUUAGCGGCCGGAUAUAAAGAGAAGAGUGACGCCACGACCAAAGAGAAAAUCGACUUGCUGAAGACCCAUGCGGACGAAUUAGAAAGUUACAAAUCUUUGGUCCAAGAGGCGGAAAAUAGAUACGAGCAAAUGAAAACAGAAUUCAAUGCGUUCCUGGAAAAAAACCAACAGAGAGAGGAGACAUUGAGGACCGUGCAAUCGGAAUUGAAUAAGGAACGUUUAAGGGAGACUGAAGUGCGAAACGAGAUGAUACUCAUCCGUAAAGCGUUGGACACGUGCGAAGCUGAAUUGAUAGUACUCAAACAGGAGAAGGAGCAUAUGCAGCUCAAGCUCAAAGAGGAGAUUAACAGAAAUUCUAUUUUACAACAAAGAAAUUCGUCGUUGCUCAUAUCUGUCGACGAUGCCAAGAAAGCAGAAAAACUAGCAAAGGAUGAAAUCAAGUCUGUUGCGGAGCAAAAGGAAAAGAUCAAGGCGGAAUUGCAGGAAGUUUAUCAGAAGCAGGUGGACGAGGUGGUGAAGACGAAACUACAAGAAUUUCAGACGCAACUCGACACCGCCGAGUCCGAAUUUUUAGAAGAGAUGAAAACGAGGCAGCAAGUUAUAGCCGAAUGCGCUGCUAGAAAAAUUAAGGAUGUCAUUGACAAACAUCGUUUGGAGAUAAACUUAUUAGAGGAGAAACACAAAGAGGAAAAACGGUUGUGCGAAUUACAAUUGGCUCAAGCUUUGCAGAGAUCGUCUAUGCUGGAGACACAUUUGAAUUCUCAGCGCGCAAACAAGUCUCAACUUGCGGAACAGCUACAUUCAGUCAUGCAGAAACAAUGGCAGCAAGCUUUACACAUUAUAUCCGGAACCGAUAAGGUACGCAACGCAAUUGUUGGAGACGCAAAAUUCGACAGCUGCGCAACACCUUGACGAUCAGAACGAAAGCGCGAUCACGUUGAAUUCUAUCGAAAAUACGCCGUUGACCAGUAGAAACAGCUCGAAAGACGAUCUGCGGAGAUACGUGAAAAUGAUCGCAGAAAUGCAGUUGGCAAGAGAAGAUAUUACCAAAUA